rnacentral:rRNA from 1 species
AAAGUCUGAUGGAGCAACGCCGCGUGAGUGAUGAAGGUUUUCGGAUCGUAAAACUCUGUUGUAAGGGAAGAACCAGUACGUCAGGCAAUGGACGUACCUUGACGGUACCUUAUUAGAAAGCCACGGCUAACUACGUGCCAGCAGCCGCGGUAAUACGUAGGUGGCGAGCGUUGUCCGGAAUUACUGGGCGUAAAGGGUGUGCAGGCGGAUAUUUAAGUGAGAUGUGAAAGACCCGGGCUUAACCCGGGCAGUGCAUUUCAAACUGGAUAUCUAGAGUGCAGGAGAGGAGAACGGAAUUCCUAGUGUAGCGGUGAAAUGCGUAGAGAUUAGGAAGAACACCAGUGGCGAAGGCGGUUCUCUGGACUGUAACUGACGCUGAGGCACGAAAGCGUGGGUAGCAAACA